CGGAGCGCGGCCAGCAGCCGCGAGCGCGCCGCGUCGGCGAGACCCAUCCUGGGAUGGUUUAGGCCCGGGACUCCAUCUCCAUGGAUGAGGAAGCGCGAGCGGAGGAUGCUUGGGAGGUGAGGUGAUCGGGGUUGGAGUUCGAGAGGCGGGGGUGAGUCCGGAUUGGAGCGGUUGGGGGUUUGGGGGGCCGGAGAGGUUUGUCUCACGGAGAAAGACAGGAAGGGGAUAUUUUGGAUCGAUUUCUUUUUCGAGGGAGAAAUUCAUUUUAUACUCGUACUAAUUUCAGUAUGGAACUCUUUUUUUUAGUAGAUUUCAGUAUGGAACUUGUUCCUACAAUGGGUCGAUG
rnacentral:lncRNA from 1 species